UACGAAGGGUGCAAGCGUUACUCGGAAUUACUGGGCGUAAAGCGUGCGUAGGUGGUGAGUUAAGUCUGUCGUGAAAGCCCCCGGCUCAACCUGGGAAUGGCGAUGGAAACUGGCUCGCUAGAGUGCGGUAGAGGAGAGUGGAAUUCCCGGUGUAGCAGUGAAAUGCGUAGAGAUCGGGAGGAACAUCAGUUGCGAAGGCGGCUCUCUGGACCAGCACUGACACUGAGGCACGAAAGCGUGGGGAGCAAACAGG
rnacentral:rRNA from 1 species